GAUGAACGCUGGCGGCGUGCCUAAUACAUGCAAGUCGAACGCUUCACUUCGGUGAAGAGUGGCGAACGGGUGAGUAAUACAUAAGUAACCUGGCAUCUACAGGGGGAUAACUGAUGGAAACGUCAGCUAAGACCGCAUAGGUGUAGAGAUCGCAUGAACUCUAUAUGAAAAGUGCUACGGGACUGGUAGAUGAUGGACUUAUGGCGCAUUAGCUUGUUGGUAGGGUAACGGCCUACCAAGGCGACGAUGCGUAGCCGACCUGAGAGGGUGAUCGGCCACACUGGGACUGAGACACGGCCCAGACUCCUACGGGAGGCAGCAGUAGGGAAUUUUCGGCAAUGGGGGAAACCCUGACCGAGCAACGCCGCGUGAAGGAAGAAGUAAUUCGUUAUGUAAACUUCUGUCAUAGAGGAAGAACGGUGGAUAUAGGGAAUGAUAUCCAAGUGACGGUACUCUAUAAGAAAGCCACGGCUAACUACGUG
rnacentral:rRNA from 1 species